rnacentral:rRNA from 1 species
GACGGGGCCGCACAGCGGUGGAGCACGUGGUUUAAUUCGAUGACAAACCGAAGAACCUUACCGUGGGUUUGACAUGUACGUGGUACGGAUAUGAAAGUUGAAGGACUCCGCUUUCGGGUGGAGAGCGUACACAGGUGCUGCAUGGCUGUCGUCAGCUCGUGUCGUGAGAUGUUGGGUUAGGUCCCGCAACGAGCGCAACCCCUGCAUUCAGUUGCCAUCGGGUGAAGCCGGGCACUCUGGAAGGACUGCCAUCGACAAGAUGGAGGAAGGUGGGGACGACGUCAAGUCAUCAUGGCCCUUAUGUCCAGGGCGACACACGUGCUACAAUGGCCGGCACAACGGGAAGCGAGUUCGCGAGGACGAGCGGAUCCCUUAAAGCCGGUCGCAGUUCGGAUUGAAGUCUGCAACUCGACUUCAUGAAGCUGGAAUCGCUAGUAAUCGCAGAUCAGCCAAGCUGCGGUGAAUACGUUCCCGGGCCUU